AAAAAAUUAAGGACUAUAUGUUGUACUGUGAUAAUGCUAAAAAAAUGUAUUUUUCUGUAUGCAGUACUGACAGUCAUCAACAUGGAAGCUAUGUUUUGUUCCUAACCAUCUAUAAUUAAUUCUCUAUGAAGUUCAGACAGUCUGCUCUUCCUUUGGAAAUACACAGUUAGUCAACCAACAAAGAAACACACAAAACUUGAAGGAUUCUCUAGUGAGGGCUUAUGGAAAUGAUCUAUGUCUACUCUCAGAAUGGUGAAAGACUAUCAGAUUAAGCAAAGACUAACAGAAUAUCCUUUCUUGGAACACUGAAACAAGAAAAUCAAACAGGAUGGGAGAUUCAAGAAGAACAUAGAUAAAUAUGAUUUCCAA